GAAAUCUCCCAGGCUUCUUGCCCUGGAAUCUGCUAAUAACCUGCAUCCGUAUGUCCCACCGAAGAAAAUGGACGAAAACUGCAGACGAAUCUCUCCUCGAGGCCUAGAUGCUAAAGCUGGCCGAGUUCAGCUAAUAACCCAGCCACGGGUCCGUGCUGUUAUCAGCUGGCUCCAGCCAAGCAGCUGACUCCAGUGUUACACUUGCUUCGCCCUGUGUGGGCUGAUAAGAGAGCAGCUGCCUGAUCUUCGCUGGGAUGACGGGAGUUUGAUUUAUCACUGUGCUGAAGUAACCCUUGAUAUUUGAAAAGUACAGAUAUAGAUUUGCUGCUCAAAUCUUCAGCCUUUCCUUUGUUUAAGCCUUGGAUUAAACAACAGGAAUCUCCUCAGCAUACCACUGGAUCCCAUCCCUGGCUGACCCUACUACCCGGCACUCGAGCCUUUGUGGCCUGCUCUCAGAGACCCUAAAGCAAAACAUCGCUGGUCUUUCUUGUUCUCGUCACUAACCAAAGCUUUUCAGCCAGGAGGUCAGCUUCUGCCACAUCACGAAGAAACAUUCUUCCGACUCUCAGCUCCUCCUCCUGAGGUUUGCCGCCUGUUUUUCUUCAGAGGCAAAAGGGCUACAGUAGCGGCAAUAAGAGGACAGCUUCUAGUUGUUUUCUUUAACGUGACUGUGUCUUUUGCUUUUGUUAUAAUGUCAGUAACAACUGCAUUUCAAACAUUUUUCUAUCCAAGAUUAUUUCUUAUCAUGUUUAGUGACCUUGUGGUAUUGCUUGGUACUAUAUUCAUCUCACAAGGGGAGGGAUGAAGGGGCAGAGAGCGGAGUGUCUCACCUGAAUUCAGGGACCCAUAAUCAAAUAAACAAGUCUCAACAGCC